GAUAACCUGAAGCCACUGAAGUCACCAGGCAGAACCCAUUAAUGUGUUCCACCCAGAGGAACCAGUGCAAAAUAGUGGAGCCUUGUGACAUCAUUUGGACCCUGAAACAGGACUCAGCUAAAGCUAGAUCUACCCCUGAACAUUUUAGCUUACAUGAGCAGCCACUCCCCUUCUUAUUUAGUUUGAAUCGGGUUUUCUGCCCCAGCAACUGAAAGAGUCUUAACCGAUGCGGACACUCACCAGCUUCACUACCAGAGGCCCAUCAGGUGGGGACCCAGGCUGUGAAGUCAAGGACUACCCAGGAUCACACAGGGAGACGGUGGUGAGGCCACACUGGAGAACUCCACAGUGUCAUCUUGAGCGGGACAUCAAUCUUCUCCUGCCCUGGACACUCCUGGUUCUAAAGCCUUCACACUCCAAGUGCAAUCUACACCACCAGCUCUCCAGCUAUCACCACUGGCUUUCCUGGGUCUCUAGCUUGU
rnacentral:lncRNA from 1 species